AACGAACGCUGGCGGCGCGCCUAAUACAUGCAAGUCGAGCGAGAAGGUGUAGCAAUACACUUGUAAAGCGGCGAACGGGUGAGGAAUACAUGGGUAACCUACCCUCGAGUGGGGAAUAACUAGCCGAAAGGUUAGCUAAUACCGCAUACGAUUCCGGGACUUCGGUUCCGGAAGGAAAGCGAUACCGUGGGUAUCGCGCCCCUGGAGGGGCUCAUGUCCUAUCAGCUUGUUGGUGAGGUAACGGCUCACCAAGGCUUCGACGGGUAGCUGGUCUGAGAGGACGAUCAGCCACACUGGCACUGCGACACGGGCCAGACUCCUACGGGAGGCAGCAGUAAGGAAUAUUGCGCAAUGGGCGAAAGCCUGACGCAGCGACGCCGCGUGGGGGAUGAAGGUCUUCGGAUUGUAAACCCCUUUCGGGAGGGAAGAUGGGAUGGGUAACCAUCCGGACGGUACCUCCAGAAGCAGCCACGGCUAACUUCGUGCCAGCAGCCGCCGUAACAC
rnacentral:rRNA from 1 species